GACGAACGCUGGCGGCGUGCUUAACACAUGCAAGUCGAACGGAAAGGCCCUGCUUUUGCGGGGUGCUCGAGUGGCGAACGGGUGAGUAACACGUGAGUAACAUGUCCUUGACUUUGGGAUAACUUCAGGAAACAGGGGAUAAUACCGGAUAGGAGCUCCUGCUGCAUGGUGGGGGUUGGAAAGAUUCGGCGGUUGGGGAUGGACUAGCGGCUUAUCAGCUUGUUGGUGGGGUAGUGGCUUACCAAGGCUUUGACGGGUAGCCGGCCUGAGAGGGUGACCGGCCACAUUGGGACUGAGAUACGGCCCAGACUCCUACGGGAGGCAGCAGUGGGGAAUAUUGCACAAUGGGCGGAAGCCUGAUGCAGCAACGCCGCGUGCGGGAUGACGGCCUUCGGGUUGUAAACCGCUUUCGCCUGUGACGAAGCGUGAGUGACGGUAAUGGGUAAAGAAGCACCGGCUAACUACGUG
rnacentral:rRNA from 1 species